rnacentral:rRNA from 1 species
GACGAACGCUGGCGGCGUGCUUAACACAUGCAAGUCGAACGGUAAGGCCCUGCUUUUGUGGGGUGCUCGAGUGGCGAACGGGUGAGUAACACGUGAGUAACCUGCCCUUGACUUUGGGAUAACUUCAGGAAACUGGGGCUAAUACCGGAUAGGAGCUCCUGCUGCAUGGUGGGGGUUGGAAAGUUUCGGCGGUUGGGGAUGGACUCGCGGCUUAUCAGCUUGUUGGUGGGGUAGUGGCUUACCAAGGCUUUGACGGGUAGCCGGCCUGAGAGGGUGACCAGCCACAUUGGGACUGAGAUACGGCCCAGACUCGUACGGGGGGCAGCAGUGGGGAAUAUUGCACAAAGAGCGGAAGCCUGAUGCAGCAACGCCGGGUGCGGGAUGACGGCCUUCGGGUUGUAAACCGCUUUCGCCUGUGACGAAGCGAGAGUGACGGUAAUGGGUAAAGAAGCACCGGCUAACUACGUG